CGAGUCUACGUAGGCGCUGGGACUGCGCAGGCGCAGGGGUCUGCGCAGGCGCGUGGCAUCGGACUUCCCUAGCGCGGGCUUGGACUCCAGCUGAACCCGGAAAGUUCCCGCGGGCGGACGCGGACAGAUUCAGUGUCACGGAUCCAGCACCAACUUGGCUGCAGCUGAGCAUCUGAAACCGCCAAGUACCUGCUGACAUCCCAGGAAGGAAGUAGCUGCGUGACCUUCUCAUCAUCACAAAACAGAGGCUCUACAGCCAUUGGAUCUUCUUCUAAGUUAUCAGGGGAGGCAGGAGGCGACCCCAUCCUCAGGAGAUUGACAGCCUACCUGCGGAGAUGAGACACAGGACCCGCAGUGACAUUGUGGGGCUGCACGCAAGGUGAAAGUGUGGUCUCGUGUUCAAGAAGUAGGCAGAAUUUCGAGACGAGCCCAGCAGGGCAUCUCCCUGUGCACGUGGCCUUCCACGGGGUCGGUCCCCCCGACGGAGCGCCUGGGAGGGAACGGCUUCUGCCCACGCCUUCGCCUUCGCCGCCCCUGUCUGCGUGGUCCCAGCUCCUCCUCUUGAGAUCAGCGGCGUUUUCUCAGAACCGUGGGGUCCCACUCAUCGACACCCGUGUCGGCCGCGAUGCAGGAAGAGAGAUCAGGCUUGAAUCUCCGCCCUCCCCUGGCCGCUGACUGCUCCAUUCCCACCAGGCCCUUCCUUUGGGGCCCGUUCGAGGCGCCGUGUCUGGCACGCAGCAGGUACCUACUGUCUCCUCUCGUCCGUCAGCAGAGAGAGCACGAAACAGGACUUUACUUACAGGCUUUUUAAGUUUAUGUAUUUAUUUUGAGAGAGAGAGAGAGAGAGAGAGGCGGGGAGGGCAGAGAGAGG